AACUGGAAACUACUGAGUGCCCGGGAGUUGUUUCUUGUGCAGACAUUCUAGCAGUAGCUGCUCGCGACGCCGUCGUUGCUUUGGGUGGCACUUCAUGGACAGUGCAGUUAGGGAGAAGAGAUUC